GGCCCGGCGGUGUAAUGGUAACACACUUGCUUUAUGUUGCCUAGCAGGAUCUAGAUUUAAGCAGAAGAUCCUUGUUCGAUUCGAGGUCAGGCCG